rnacentral:rRNA from 1 species
CAGCCGCCACGGUAAUACGGAGGGGGCUAGCGUUGUUCGGAAUUACUGGGCGUAAAGCGCACGUAGGCGGCUUUACAAGUCAGAGGUGAAAGCCUGGUGCUCAACACCAGAAUUGCCUUCGAGACUGUAUCGCUUGAGCGUCGGAGAGGUGAGUGGAAUUCCGAGUGUAGAGGUGAAAUUCGUAGAUAUUCGGAAGAACACCAGUGGCGAAGGCGGCUCACUGGACGACUGUUGACGCUGAGGUGCGAAAGCGUGGGGAGCAAACAGGAUUAGAUACCCCAGUAGUCCCUGUCUCUUAUAC